UACGUAGGGUGCAAGCGUUGUCCGGAAUUAUUGGGCGUAAAGAGCUCGUAGGCGGUUCGUCGCGUCUGCUGUGAAAUCCCGAGGCUCAACCUCGGGCCUGCAGUGGGUACGGGCAGACUAGAGUGCGGUAGGGGAGAUUGGAAUUCCUGGUGUAGCGGUGGAAUGCGCAGAUAUCAGGAGGAACACCGAUGGCGAAGGCAGAUCUCUGGGCCGUAACUGACGCUGAGGAGCGAAAGCAUGGGGAGCGAACAGG
rnacentral:rRNA from 1 species